rnacentral:rRNA from 1 species
UACGUAGGGAGCGAGCGUUAUCCGGAAUUAUUGGGCGUAAAGGGUUCGUAGGUGGCAUAAUAAGUCUAUAGUUAAAGUUCGGGGCUCAACCCCGUGAUGCUAUAGAAACUGUUAAGCUUGAAUAUAGGAGAGGAUAAUGGAAUUCCAUGUGUAGCGGUAAAAUGCGUAAAUAUAUGGAGGAACACCAGUGGCGAAAGCGA